UACGGAGGGAGCUAGCGUUGUUCGGAAUUACUAGGGCGUAAAGCGCACGUUAGGCGGCUUUGUAAGUUAGAGGUGAAAGCCCGGGGCUCAACUCCGGAACUGCCUUUAAGACUGCAUCGCUUGAAUCCAGGAGAGGUGAGUGGAAUUCCGGAAGUGUAGAGGUGAAAUUCGAUAGAUAUUCGGAAGAACACCAGUGGCGAAGGGCGGCUACACU
rnacentral:rRNA from 1 species